AUACCGUGGUGAGGACAUUUACGAUCAAGUCCUUGAAUAUCUCCCAAGCAUCAUACAAAUAUUCUCCCUCAAUUUGAGAGAAGUUAUUGAUCUCCCCUCUCAGUUU